rnacentral:rRNA from 1 species
AUUGAAUGCUGGCGGCAGGCUUAACACAUGCAAGUCGAACGAGUGGUGGAUGGGUGAGUAAUGCUUGGGAAUCUGGCUUCUGGAGGGGGAUAACUACGUGCAACUGUAGCUAAUACCGCCUACCAUAGGAUGAGCCCACGUGGGCUUUGGUAGUUGGUGAGGUAAAGGCUCACCAAGUCGACGAUCUCUAGCAGGUCUGAGAGGAUGACCAGCGACACUGGGACUGAGACACGGCCAAGACUCCUACGAGAGGCAGCAGUGGGGAAUAUGGCGCAAUGGGGGCAGCCUGACGCAGCCAUGCCGCGGGAAGGAAGAAGGCCUGCGGGUUGUAGAGUGCUUUCGGAAGCGAGGAGUUAACUGCAGAGGAUGCACCGGCUAACUCCGUGCCAGCAGCCGCGGUAAUUC